rnacentral:rRNA from 1 species
UACGUAGGGUGCAAGCGUUAUCCGGAUUUACUGGGUGUAAAGGGCGAGUAGACGGUUAUUUAAGUCAGCUGUGAAAUCUUGGGGCUCAACCCCAAGACUGCAUCUGAAACUAAAUUACUAGAGUGUAGGAGAGGAAAAUGGAAUUCCUAGUGUAGCGGUGAAAUGCGUAGAUAUUAGGAGGAACACCAGUGGCGAAGGCGAUUUUCUGGACUAUAACUGACGUUGAGGAGCGAAAGUGUGGGGAGCAAACAGG